CUGGAAACGUGCAUAAAUGGUUGUGGACGUAACUGGUGGCGAACGAACUAGUGGUGGACGCUACGACAGACGAAGACACAGCGGCGACUUGAGGAGAUCGACUAGAAACGCUGCAAGCAGACGAAGAGAUCCACUAGAAAUGGGCAGAAGAUCAAGUGAUGUUAGGUGGUCAAUUGUGCUUACUCCACCACAGAGAGAUUGUGAAGGUCAAUCAAAUGAUGAUGAACUCGAAGAUAUCGUGUUACAUUGUGAAGGAGUACCUAGUGAUAUGCCAAAUAUCGAUGGAAGCAAUGAUUUGGAUGAUAGUAUCUCAACAUAUGUGCAAUCAGACUGUGAAGGCACAUGGAUUCCUAAAUAACGCAUUUUGGGUGGGUUUCUACUUAUUAUUAAGAGACGAUCAAGACAAGGAGGUUGGUGGAGUUGAGAUUGAUUGAUUAGUUGUUGGAGGAGUUACUGAACAAAAUGUAGAAAGGCCUAAGAAACAAAGAAAAUGGGGACCUACGAUUAUGUUCGAUGUGACACGUGUUUGAAGUAAAGGUGGGAGAAAAUUGGUUUAAUACAAUGAAGAUGACGUACCUAUUGGAGAAAAUGGGAUAAAGCUAAGCUCUUUUAUUAACAAGGUCGUGUGUACACUACCAUAUUUCCAUUAACUAUAUCAUGGACAGAUGUGUCUGUAAAAAUUGAAGGAAAAGAUCUAUAUCAUAGUUGAGAAGAAGGUGAUCUUGACCAAGCUAGCAUGUGGAAGGAGGCUCGUGUAGAUAAGAAUGGCCAAUACGACAAUGAAGAUGUCCAAGAAGUUAUGAAUCGUAUAGUAAGA